rnacentral:rRNA from 1 species
CGGAAUUCGUGGUGUAGCGGUGAAAUGCUUAGAUAUCACGAAGAACUCCGAUUGCGAAGGCAGCUCACUGGACUGCAACUGACACUGAUGCUCGAAAGUGUGGGUAUCAAACAGGAUUAGAUACCCUGGUAGUCCACACAGUAAACGAUGAAUACUCGCUGUUUGCGAUAUACAGUAAGCGGCCAAGCGAAAGCAUUAAGUAUUCCACCUGGGGAGUACGCCGGCAACGGUGAAACUCAAAGGAAUUGACGGGGGCCCGCACAAGCGGAGGAACAUGUGGUUUAAUUCGAUGAUACGCGAGGAACCUUACCCGGGCUUAAAUUGCAUUUGAAUAUAUUGGAAACAGUAUAGCCGUAAGGCAAAUGUGAAGGUGCUGCAUGGUUGUCGUCAGCUCGUGCCGUGAGGUGUCGGCCUAAGUGCCAUAACGAGCGCAACCCUUAUCUUUAGUUACUAACAGGUCAUGCUGAGGACUCUAGAGAGACUGCCGUCGUAAGAUGUGAGGAAGGUGGGGAUGACGUCAAAUCAGCACGGCCCUUACGUCCGGGGCUACACACGUGUUACAAUGGGGGGUACAGAAGGCAGCUACCUGGUGACAGGAUGCUAAUCCCAAAAGCCUCUCUCAGUUCGGAUCGAAGUCUGCAACCCGACUUCGUGAAGCUGGAUUCGCUAGUAAUCGCGCAUCAGCCAUGGCGCGGUGAAUACGUUCCCGGGCCUUGUACACACCGCCCGUCAAGCCAUGAAAGCCGGGGGUACCUGAAGUACGUAACCGCAAGGAGCGUCCUAGGGUAAAACUGGUAA